rnacentral:guide_RNA from 1 species
AUAUAUAAAUAUAAUAGAUCUUAUAGUGAGUUAGUGAAGUGUGAUUAUAG